AACAUUGCUCACAUAGUGCCAAGCUAACCC
rnacentral:tRNA from 1 species